AUGGAGCCGCAUAUCUUCAAAUCUUUAGCUAAUUAUCUUCGAAGGGAGAAGUUGGUGAAAGAUACCAGAAUUAAAGUCGAAGAGAAACUAGCAUCAUUUUUGUGGAUGUUGUCCCAUAAUUCUUCAUUUGAAGACCUUCAAGUUCGGUUUGGUCACAGCGGGGAUACUUUCCAUUGGCAAAUGAAGAAUUUCUUUGACAUCAUCCCUAUUCUCUCCAAGCAUUUUUUGAAGCCUCCAAAUCCCAGUCAAGUGCAUCCGAAGAUUCAGUCGGACACGAGAUUCUUUCCUUAUUUUCAGGUUUUUGCUUCGCCAACUUUGAUCCACAUCAAUAACUUACUAUUCAUGUUAUAG
rnacentral:rRNA from 1 species